UACGUAGGGGGCAAGCGUUGUCCGGAUUUAUUGGGCGUAAAGAGCGUGUAGGCGGUUUGGUAGGUCCGCUGUGAAAACUCGAGGCUCAACCUCGAGACGCCGGUGGAAACCAUCAGACUAGAGUCCGGUAGGGGAGCGUGGAAUUCCUGGUGUAGCGGUGAAAUGCGCAGAUAUCAGGAGGAACACCAGCGGCGAAGGCGGCGCUCUGGGCCGGUACUGACGCUGAGGAGCGAAAGCUAGGGGAGCGAACGGG
rnacentral:rRNA from 1 species